UUAGGCUUGUUGAGUGCACUCCAGAGAUGUGGACAUAUCUGCUGUGGAUGUGGCAGAUGACAAUGAGAACGAUUGGACAAAUAUGGAAGAAAGCUUUCUCAAUAAGAUACAUAUGUACACCGAAAUAUCCAACUCUUCACUCUAUCCAACUCCCUUCAACUUCAAACCCAACUCACUGACCAGCUCCAACUCUUGUUCCUCCUCUUCUUACACAGGUGCAACU